rnacentral:rRNA from 1 species
GCCAGCAGCCGCGGUAAUACGUAGGGUGCGAGCGUUAAUCGGAAUUACUGGGCGUAAAGCGUGCGCAGGCGGUUUUGUAAGUCAGAUGUGAAAUCCCCGGGCUCAACCUGGGAACUGCGUUUGAAACUACAAGGCUAGAGUGUAGCAGAGGGGGGUAGAAUUCCACGUGUAGCAGUGAAAUGCGUAGAGAUGUGGAGGAAUACCAAUGGCGAAGGCAGCCCCCUGGGUUAACACUGACGCUCAUGCACGAAAGCGUGGGGAGCAAACAGGAUUAGAUACCCUGGUAGUCCACGCCCUAAACGAUGUCUACUAGUUGUUGGUGGAGUAAAAUCCAUUAGUAACGCAGCUAACGCGUGAAGUAAACCGCCUGGGGAAGACGGUCGCAAGAUUAAAACUUAAAGGAAUUGACGGGGGCC